rnacentral:tRNA from 1 species
GGUUGUGGCUCAGAGGUAGAAUACUUGCCUAGCAUGCAGGAGGCACUGGGUUUGAUUCUCAGCACCA